GUUACUGUGGCUCUGUAAUUGACUCUUUUUUCCCCCCUCUGGGAAGUUAACUGUCCUUUCCCCAGCCGCUGUGGUUGCCUAGCAACAGGGGACAGCAGAGCAGUAACAGGGAGUCUAAACCUCUAAGGAAUGGGGAUAGUUGAUGUCUGUCCCACGGAGAGAGUAACUCAGUGGCCCUGCUUUGAGAUGGGAGAAUGUUAUAGCAGGACAUCUGUAGCCCCAGGGCAUGAAACCCCAGAGAGAAUCAGGGACAAUAUGUCAAUGUGCUGACAAUUGGAGAGGGGAA
ensembl:lncRNA